GAUGAACGCUGGCGGCGUGCCUAAUACAUGCAAGUCGAGCGAACAGACGAGGAGCUUGCUCCUCUGACGUUAGCGGCGGACGGGUGAGUAACACGUGGAUAACCUACCUAUAAGACUGGGAUAACUUCGGGAAACCGGAGCUAAUACCGGAUAAUAUAUUGAACCGCAUGGUUCAUUAGUGAAAGACGGUUUUGCUGUCACUUAUAGAUGUAUCCAAGCCGCAUUAGCUAGUUGGUAAGGUAACGGCUUACCAAGGCAACGAUGCGUAGCCGACCUGAGAGGGUGAUCGGCCACACUGGAACUGAGACACGGUCCAGACUCCUACGGGAGGCAGCAGUAGGGAAUCUUCCGCAAUGGGCGAAAGCCUGACGGAGCAACGCCGCGUGGGUGAUGAAGGUCUUCGGAUCGUAAAACUCUGUUAUUAGGGAAGAAGAAAUGUGUAUGUAAAUCUGCACGUCUUGACGUUACCUAAUCAGAAAGCCCCGGCUAACUACGUG
rnacentral:rRNA from 1 species